rnacentral:misc_RNA from 1 species
UUGUGGAGGAGGACGCCGAAGGUGGGGCUGAUGACUGGGGUGAAGUCGUAACAAGGUAGCCGUACCGGAAGGUGCGGCUGGAUCACCUCCUAACAGGGAGACAAAAACUGAUUAUUGAUGUCUGAAUAUUGAUUUCAGGCCGUAAUCCUGUCACCUUAGGUCGAUCGGUACCUCAGAUUGAAGCUAUAUAAAAUGAGAAAUCAAUUUUAUACAUUGUCUUUAAUUUCAGUUCCUAAACUUGUCUAGGUCACCCCAUUAAGGGUUACUCCUGGGCCAUUAGCUCAGGUGGUUAGAGCGCACCCCUGAUAAGGGUGAGGUCCCUGGUUCAAGUCCAGGAUGGCCCAUUCCAAUAGGUGUUGGGGGUAUAGCUCAGUUGGUAGAGCGCCUGCUUUGCAAGCAGGAUGUCAGCGGUUCGAGUCCGCUUACCUCCACUGAUCGAUCUCCUGAUGACGAUAUCCUAAGGAAAUUGGCUUUGUUAGAUGUGACUUAGAGGUUGGUUAUCUGAACGAACCUAGCUUCUUAUCAUUCCUACUAAAUUACGAGUAAUUUUAGAUAAGGUUGAUAUGACGCUGGGCUCACUCCAUUUCGAAAGAAUUAAGGAGGAGUUUCAGCAGAACCUUGACAACUGCAUAGGUGAGUCUGGAAAGAAUAAAGCAUCCCAUGGAUGCAUUAUUUGUUUUUCUUAGAUCAAUGAAUAAUGUCUAAUUCUUGAGUUAGAGCCAGAACUCUAUAACUUUUAAAUAUGUUUUAAUUAGGCAUUUUUUAAUCUUUAUAGAGGUUAAUGGUCAAGCUACAA